UACGUAGGUGGCAAGCGAUACUCGGAAUCACUAGGCGUAAAAGCGCAGGUAGGCGGUUUGGUAAGUCUUUUGUGAAAGCUCCCGGCUCAACUGGGAGAGGCCAAAGGAAACUACUAGACUAGAGUGUGGUAGGGGGAUACUGGAAUCCCUGGUGUAGCGGUGAAAUGCGUAGAUAUCAGGAGGAAUACCUAUGGCGAAAGCAGGUAUCUGGGCCAUCACUGACGCUGAGCUGCGAAAGCUAGGGGAGCAAACAGG
rnacentral:rRNA from 1 species